rnacentral:rRNA from 1 species
AGAGUUUGAUCCUGGCUCAGGACGAACGCUGGCGGCGUGCUUAAUGCAUGCAAGUCGAACGAAGAACCCGCUAUGGGUAACCACUGCGGAAUUCUUAGUGGCGAACGGGUGAGUAACACGUGAGAAACCUGCCCCGGAGACCGGAAUAGCCCAGGGAAACCUGGAUUAAUACCGGAUACCCUCCGACGAUCGCAUGAUCGACGGAGGAAAUGGUCCGCCGCUCCGGGAUGGUCUCGCGGCCUAUCAGUUAGUUGGUGAGGUAACGGCUCACCAAGACUACGACGGGUAGCUGGUCUGAGAGGACGAUCAGCCACACUGGGACUGAGACACGGCCCAGACUCCUACGGGAGGCAGCAGCAGGGAAUUUUGCACAAUGGGCGCAAGCCUGAUGCAGCGACGCCGCGUGGGGGAUGAAUGCCUUCGGGUUGUAAACCCCUUUCAGGAGGGACGAAGCGAAAGUGACGGUACCUCCAGAAGAAGCCCCGGCCAACUACGUGCCAGCAGCCGCGGUAAUACGUAGGGGGCGAGCGUUGUCCGGAUUUAUUGGGCGUAAAGAGCUCGUAGGCGGCUCAGCAAGUCGGCCGUGAAAGCCUGAGGCUCAACCCUGGGAUGCCGGUCGAAACUGCUGUUUCUUGAGUAUAGUUGAGGUAGGCGGAAUGUGCAAUGUAGCGGUGAAAUGCUUAGAUAUUACACAGAACACCGAUUGCGAAGGCAGCUUACUAAGCUAUUACUGACGCUAAUGCACGAAAGCGUGGGGAGCGAACAGGAUUAGAUACCCUGGUAGUCCACGCCGUAAACGAUGAUUACUCGUUGUUGGCGAUAUAUUGGUCAGCGACUGAGCGAAAGCAUUAAGUAAUCCACCUGGGGAGUACGUUCGCAAGAAUGAAACUCAAAGGAAUUGACGGGGGCCCGCACAAGCGGAGGAACAUGUGGUUUAAUUCGAUGAUACGCGAGGAACCUUACCUGGGCUUAAAUGCAGAACGACGUUCGCCGAAAGGUGAAUUCCCUUCGGGGCGGACUGCAAGGUGCUGCAUGGUUGUCGUCAGCUCGUGCCGUGAGGUGUCGGGUUAAGUCCCAUAACGAGCGCAACCCCUAUUGUUAGUUGCCAGCGGAUAAUGCCGGGGACUCUAACGAGACUGCCACCGUAAGGUGUGAGGAAGGUGGGGAUGACGUCAAGUCAGCACGGCCCUUAUGUCCAGGGCUACACACGUGUUACAAUGGUCGGUACAAAGGGCAGCUACCUGGUGACAGGAUGCUAAUCUCAAAAAACCGAUCUCAGUUCGGAUCGAAGUCUGCAACUCGACUUCGUGAAGUUGGAUUCGCUAGUAAUCGUAUAUCAGCAACGAUACGGUGAAUACGUUCCCGGGCCUUGUACACACCGCCCGUCAAGCCAUGGAAGCUGGGAGUACCUGAAGUCCGUAACCGCAAGGAUCGGCCUAGGGUAAAACUAGUGACUGGGGCUAAGUCGUAACAAGGUAACC